GAAUAUUGGACAAUGGGCGAAAGCCUGAUCCAGCCAUGCCGCGUGUGUGAAGAAGGUCUUCGGAUUGUAAAGCACUUUAAGUUGGGAGGAAGGGCAGUAAGCGAAUACCUUGCUGUUUUGACGUUACCGACAGAAUAAGAACCGGCUUACUCUGUCCCAGCAGCCACGGGAAUACAGAGGGUGCAAGCGUUAAUCGGAAUUACUGGGCUUAAAGCGCGCGUAGGUUGUUCGUUAAAUUUGAUGUGAAAUCCCCGGGCUCAACCGGGGAACUGCAUACAAAACUGGCGAGCUAGAGUAGGGCAGAGGGUGGUGGAAUUUCCUGUGUAGCGGUGAAAUGCGUAGAUAUAGGAAGGAACACCAGUGGCGAAGGCGACCACCUGGGCUCAUACUGACACUGAGGUGCGAAAGCGUGGGGAGCAAACA
rnacentral:rRNA from 1 species